rnacentral:misc_RNA from 1 species
AGAACCUCAAGCAACUGCUUGGUAUUGAGCGUCUCCGCCUGUUUUUUCAGGCGCGCUCGAAACUCGUGGGCGGUGGUGUCCAGCGUCGAAGCGUAGUCAUACAUUCCGCUCCCGACAACCUGGGCGUCCACCCGCCGGGCAACGAAUUUUUUACUUCUAGU